rnacentral:rRNA from 1 species
AGAGUUUGAUCCUGGCUCAGGACGAACGCUGGCGGCGUGCCUAACACAUGCAAGUCGAACGGAGUUGAAAGGAGCUUGCUUUUUUCAACUCAGUGGCGGACGGGUGAGUAACGCGUGAGUAACCUGCCUUUCAGAGGGGGAUAACGUUCUGAAAAGAACGCUAAUGCCGCAUAAGAUUGUAGCUUCGCAUGGGGCAGCAAUCAAAGGAGCAAUCCGCUGAAAGAUGGACUCGCGUCCGAUUAGAUAGUUGGCGGGGUAACGGCCCACCAAGUCGACGAUCGGUAGCCGGACUGAGAGGUUGAUCGGCCACAUUGGGACUGAGACACGGCCCAGACUCCUACGGGAGGCAGCAGUGAGGGAUAUUGGGCAAUGGGGGAAACCCUGACCCAGCAACGCCGCGUGAGGGAUGACGGUUUUCGGAUUGUAAACCUCUGUCCUCUGUGAAGAUAGUGACGGUAGCAGAGGAGGAAGCUCCGGCUAACUACGUGCCAGCAGCCGCGGUAAUACGUAGGGAGCAAGCGUUGUCCGGAUUUACUGGGUGUAAAGGGUGCGUAGGCGGAUUGGCAAGUCAGAAGUGAAAUCCAUGGGCUUAACCCAUGAACUGCUUUUGAAACUGUUAGUCUUGAGUGAAGUAGAGGUAGGCGGAAUUCCCGGUGUAGCGGUGAAAUGCGUAGAGAUCGGGAGGAACACCAGUGGCGAAGGCGGCCUACUGGGCUUUAACUGACGCUGAGGCACGAAAGUGUGGGUAGCAAACAGGAUUAGAUACCCUGGUAGUCCACACUGUAAACGAUGAU